rnacentral:rRNA from 2 species
AGGGUGCAGGGCGGAUGCCUUGGCACUAGGAGCCGAUGAAGGACGUGAUAAGCUGCGAUAAGCUUCGGGGAGUUGCACGUAAACUUUGAUCCGAAGAUUUCCGAAUGAGGAAACUCACUUAGAGUAAUGUCUAAGUAUCAUUAAGUGAAUACAUAGCUUAAUGAGGGGAACUCAGGGAACUGAAACAUCUAAGUACCUGAAGGAAGAGAAAGAAAUUCGAUUCCGUAAGUAGCGGCGAGCGAACGCGGAUUAGCCCAAACCAAUAAAGUUUUCUUUAUUGGGGUUGCGGACAUAUCAUAACGAAGAGGUAUCGUAAUUGAAGAGGUUUGGAAAGACCCACCACAGAAGGUAAUAGUCCUGUAUGUUAAACGAGAAGACUUUAGAUAUGAUCCAGAGUACCACGGGACACGUGAAACCCUGUGGGAAGCAGGAGGGACCACCCUCCAAGGCUAAAUACUACCUAGUGACCGAUAGCGUAUAGUACCGUGAGGGAAAGGUGAAAAGAACCCCGGGAGGGGAGUGAAAUAGAACCUGAAACCCUGCACUUACAAGCUGUGGAAGCACAUUUCUUGUGUGACCGCGUACUUUUUGUAGAACGGGCCAACGAGUUACGUUAAGUAGCAAGGUUAAGCACUUAAGGUGCGGAGCCGUAGCGAAAGCGAGUUUUAACUGAGCGUUCAGUUACUUGACGUAGACCCGAAACCGGGCGACCUACCCAUGAGCAGGAUGAAGCGAAAGUAAAAUUUCGUGGAGGUCCGAACCCACGAGCGUUGAAAAGCUCGGGGAUGACUUGUGGGUAGCGGUGAAAUUCCAAUCGAGCCCGGAGAUAGCUGGUUCUCCCCGAAAUAGCUUUAGGGCUAGCCUCAAGGUGAGAGAUACGGAGGUAGAGCACUGAAUGUCCUAGGGGGUAUUGCACCUACCGAAGACUAUCAAACUCCGAAUGCCGUCAUCUUAUACUUGGGAGUCAGACUGUGGGUGAUAAGAUUCAUAGUCGAAAGGGCAACAGCCCAGAUCGUCAGCUAAGGUCCCUAAAUGUAAGUUAAGUGGUAAAGGAUGUGGGAUUGCACAGACAACCAGGAUGUUGGCUUAGAAGCAGCCACUCAUUCAAAGAGUGCGUAAUAGCUCACUGGUCGAGUGAUCCUGCGCCGAAGAUUUCCGGGGCUAAAACUUACUACCGAAGCUACGGCAUCAGUAAUGAUGGGUAGGGGAGCUUCCCAUACGGGUUGAAGCAUGACCGUAAGGACAUGUGGACAGUAUGGGAGUGAGAAUGUUGGCAUGAGUAGCGAGAUGUGGGUGAGAAUCCCACAGGCCGUAAACCCAAGGUUUCCAGGGGAAGGUUCGUCCGCCCUGGGUUAGUCGGGACCUAAGCUGAGGCCGAAAGGCGUAGGUGAUGGACAACAGGUUGAUAUUCCUGUACUACCGAUAACCGUUUGAGAGAAGGGAUGACACAGUAGGAUAAGCUAAGCACACUGUUGGUUAUGUGUGCCCAAGCAUUGAGGCAGUCAAAGUAGGCAAAUCCGCUUUGAUAAUGCUGGGAUGUGAUGGGGAGCGAAAUUUAGUAGCGAAGUAGCUGAUUUCACACUGUCAAGAAAAGUCUCUAUCGAGGUUAAAGGUACCCGUACCGCAAACCGACACAGGUGGGUGAGGAGAGUAUCCUAAGGCCAGCGAGAGAACUGUUGUUAAGGAACUCGGCAAAAUGACCCCGUAACUUAGGGAUAAGGGGUGCCACCAUCAGGUGGCCGCAGAGAAUAGGCCCAAGCGACUGUUUACCAAAAACAUAGGUUUCUGCUAAGUCGCAAGACGAUGUAUAGGAGCUGACGCCUGCCCGGUGCUGGAAGGUUAAGGGGAUCUGUUAGAGCAAUCGAAGCAGUGAACUUAAGCCCCAGUAAACGGCGGCCGUAACUAUAACGGUCCUAAGGUAGCGAAAUUCCUUGUCGGGUAAGUUCCGACCCGCACGAAAGGCGUAACGAUUUGGGCACUGUCUCAACAACAGACUCGGUGAAAUUGUAAUUCCGGUGAAGAUGCCGGAUACCUGCGACAGGACGGAAAGACCCCAUGGAGCUUUACUGUAGCUUGACAUUGGGUCUUGGUACUACAUGUACAGGAUAGGUGGGAGGCUUUGAAACCAGGACGCCAGUUUUGGCGGAGCCAUCCUUGGGAUACCACCCUUGUAGUACUGGGACUCUAACCAUAGGCCAUGAAUCUGGUCUUGGGACACUGUCAGGUGGGCAGUUUGACUGGGGCGGUCGCCUCCCAAAAGGUAACGGAGGCGCUCAAAGGUUCUCUCAGUACGGUCGGAAAUCGUACGUAGAGUGUAAAGGCAAAAGAGAGCUUGAUUGCAAGACAUACAGGUCGAGCAAGGAUGAAAAUCGGACUUAGUGAUCCGGUGGUUCUGCGUGGAAGGGCCAUCGCUCAACGGAUAAAAGCUACCCUGGGGAUAACAGGCUUAUCUCCCCCAAGAGUCCACAUCGACGGGGAGGUUUGGCACCUCGAUGUCGGCUCAUCACAUCCUGGGGCUGUAGUAGGUCCCAAGGGUUGGGCUGUUCGCCCAUUAAAGUGGUACGCGAGCUGGGUUCAGAACGUCGUGAGACAGUUCGGUCCCUAUCCGUCGCAGGCGUAGGAAAUUUGAGAAGACCUGUCCUUAGUACGAGAGGACCGGGAUGGACGUACCUCUGGUGUACCAGUUGUCCUGCCAAGGGCAUGGCUGGGUAGCUAUGUACGGAAUGGAUAAGCGCUGAAAGCAUCUAAGCGCGAAGCCAACUUCAAGAUAAGAUUUCCCACCGCAAGGGUAAGACCCCAGAAAGACUAUCUGGUUGA